AUGAAGGGACUUUCUGAGGAGACUUUACCUCAGCUCCUAUUGCCCAGGGCUGGGUGUCAGAAACACCCCCAAGAGCGCAUUACUCAUACCCUGACUGUCACGAGGAGCCAUUCUCUCUUACUGCCACCAUUGACUCCAUGUUCCUACACUCAAGGCUUUGUCAGCUGUGCAGAGGGAGCUGGCCAAUUACUCAGAGUUCCUUGCUCGAAUUCCCAGAAAGGCCUUGAUAUCCAACUCCACAUCAAUUGUGCCAAGCCCUCCUCCUGGCUAACAGUCAUCUGUCUUCCCUGUCCACCAUGAUUUAUUCAUCUCUCCUGCAGGGUAGCCUCCUCUUGGAUUCUCUCAGUAAUCUACCUUCGGCUAGCAGGAAUUAUCUUCUUAAUGAUCAAGGAAAAACUAUGAUGGAAGGUAGUUCCUUGAGAGCACUGGUCCUCUGGAAAAAAAAUCCCCAUUUUAGUGUGCCCUGAUUUCUAUUUCCAAAUACAUUUUGUGCAUAAGUAUCUAGCCACUUUCAUACCAGGUUCUAUUUAGGAGACAACAGAAGCCCAUGCUUAUGGGAAGGGUAAAGGGCACAGUCUCAUUCUAUCCUAACAUCAACUAA
rnacentral:lncRNA from 1 species